UACGUAGGGGGCUAGCGUUGUCCGGAUUUAUUGGGCGUAAAGAGCGUGUAGGCGGCCAGGUAGGUCUGCUGUGAAAACUCGAGGCUCAACCUCGAGACGUCGGCGGAAACCAUCUGGCUAGAGUCCGGAAGAGGAGAGUGGAAUUCCUGGUGUAGCGGUGAAAUGCGCAGAUAUCAGGAAGAACACCCGUGGCGAAGGCGGCUCUCUGGGACGUUACUGACGCUGAGACGCGAAAGCGUGGGGAGCAAACAGG
rnacentral:rRNA from 1 species